CGAGCAUCUUUGUGGUCAAAUUAUUAAGUGCAGAUGGCGAAUGCCUUGGCACCAGAAACCGAUGAAGGACGUAUGAGGCUGCGAAAAGCCUCGGGGAGCUGCCAACAGAGCUGUGAUCCGAGGAUUUCCGAAUGAGGAAACUCAGCACGAGUAAUGUCGUGUUAUUUCUCCUAGAACACAUAUAGGAGAUAAAGGGAACGUGGGGAAGUGAAACAUCUCAGUACCCACAGGAAGAGAAAGCAAACGCGAUUCCGUUAGUAGUGGCGAGCGAAAGCGGAUGAGGCUAAACCGUUAAUGUGCCAAGCCGGCAGGCAUUGCAUUAGCGGUGUUGAGGGACCAAACAGGAUUAACUGCCGUUGAUCUAGCAAGUCAGAAAGUAAAGAUGUAGGUGAACGACGUGGGAAAGUCGGGCGAAGUAGGUGAGACCCCUGUAACCGAAACAUCUUUAUCUUGCGAUUGGUAUCCCAAGUAAUACCGGACUCGUGAAAUCCGGUAUGAAUCCGGCGGGACCACCCGCUAAGCCUAAAUAUUCUCUGGUGACCGAUAGUGAACGAGUACCGUGAGGGAAAGGUGAAAAGAACCCCGCAAGGGGAGUGAAAUAGAAUCUGAAACCGUCUGCAUACAAGCCGUUGGAGCUACUUUAAGUAGUGACAGCGUGCCUUUUGAAGAAUGAGUCUACGAGUUAGUGUCAUGUGGCGAGGUUAACCGGUCGACGGGGAGCCGUAGCGAAAGCGAGUCUGAAUAGGGCGAGAUAGUCGCAUGAUCUAAACCCGAAGCGAGGUGAUCUAGGCAUGGUCAGGUUGAAGCGUGGGUAAGACUGCGUGGAGGACCGAACCCACAAACGUUGAAAAGUUUGGGGAUGAACUGUGCUUAGGGGUGAAAGGCCAAUCAAACUUCGUGAUAGCUGGUUCUCUCCGAAAUGCAUUUAGGUGCAGCGUUACGUGUUUCUUGCUGGAGGUAGAGCUACUGGAUGGCCGAGGGGACCUACAAGUUUACCAACGUCAGCCAAACUCCGAAUGCCAGUAAGUGAGAACGU
rnacentral:rRNA from 1 species